UACGUAGGGUGCAAGCGUUAAUCGGAAUUACUGGGCGUAAAGCGUGCGCAGGCGGUUUUGUAAGACCGAUGUGAAAUCCCCGGGCUUAACCUGGGAACUGCAUUGGUGACUGCAAGGCUUGAGUGUGUCAGAGGGGGGUGGAAUUCCAGGUGUAGCAGUGAAAUGCGUAGAGAUCUGGAGGAACACCGAUGGCGAAGGCAGCCCCCUGGGCUAACACUGACGCUCAUGCACGAAAGCGUGGGGAGCAAACAGG
rnacentral:rRNA from 1 species